rnacentral:lncRNA from 1 species
GAAAAAGUUUUUUCCGACGUAGUCGGUAUAGUUUCGGUUUGUGCCCUUUGAACUUAAGGACGCUUAACUAUGGCAACAGAAUAUGCAUGCUCGAAAAUCCUUUCUGUGAUUGGACAAAAUGCUGUCAUGGUGGGUGAUUUGGUUGUGUUUGAAAAAAACGGUCCUACUUAAAAGCGCCCGGGAGCGCCUGGGUGAAGAAAAAGCGCCCGGGGGCAAGAAAAAGC